GAUGAACGCUGGCGGCGUGCCUAAUACAUGCAAGUCGAGCGAACGGAUGAGGAGCUUGCUCCUCUGAUGUUAGCGGCGGACGGGUGAGUAACACGUGGAUAACCUACCUAUAAGACUGGGAUAACUUCGGGAAACCGGAGCUAAUACCGGAUAAUAUAUUGAACCGCAUGGUUCAAAAGUGAAAGACGGUCUUGCUGUCACUUAUAGAUGGAUCCGCGCUGCAUUAGCUAGUUGGUAAGGUAACGGCUUACCAAGGCAACGAUGCAUAGCCGACCUGAGAGGGUGAUCGGCCACACUGGAACUGAGACACGGUCCAGACUCCUACGGGAGGCAGCAGUAGGGAAUCUUCCGCAAUGGGCGAAAGCCUGACGGAGCAACGCCGCGUGAGUGAUGAAGGUCUUCGGAUCGUAAAACUCUGUUAUUAGGGAAGAACAUAUGUGUAAGUAACUGUGCACAUCUUGACGGUACCUAAUCAGAAAGCCACGGCUAACUACGUG
rnacentral:rRNA from 1 species